UGGGGAAUAUUGCACAAUGGGCGCAAGCCUGAUGCAGCCAUGCCGCGUGUAUGAAGAAGGCCUUCGGGUUGUAAAGUACUUUCAGCGGGGAGGAAGGGAGUAAAGUUAAUACCUUUACUCAUUGACGUUACCCGCAGAAGAAGCACCGGCUAACUCCGUGCCAGCAGCCGCGGUAAUACGGAGGGUGCAAGCGUUAAUCGGAAUUACUGGGCGUAAAGCGCACGCAGGCGGUUUGUUAAGUCAGAUGUGAAAUCCCCGGGCUCAACCUGGGAACUGCAUCUGAUACUGGCAAGCUUGAGUCUCGUAGAGGGGGGUAGAAUUCCAGGUGUAGCGGUGAAAUGCGUAGAGAUCUGGAGGAAUACCGGUGGCGAAUGCGGCCCCCUGGACGAAGACUGACGCUCAGGUGCGAAAGCGUGGGGAGCAAACAGG
rnacentral:rRNA from 1 species